UACAGAGGGUGCAAGCGUUAAUCGGAAUUACUGGGCGUAAAGCGUGCGCAGGCGGUUGUGUAAGUCAGAUGUGAAAGCCCCGGGCUCAACCUGGGAAUUGCAUUUGAGACUGCGUAGCUAGGGUGCGGAAGAGGGAAGCGGAAUUUCCGGUGUAGCGGUGAAAUGCGUAGAUAUCGGAAGGAACACCAGUGGCGAAGGCGGCUUCCUGGUCCAGCACCGACGUUCAGGCACGAAAGCGUGGGGAGCAAACAGG
rnacentral:rRNA from 1 species